rnacentral:rRNA from 1 species
UACGGAGGGUGCAAGCGUUAAUCGGAAUUACUGGGCGUAAAGCGCACGCAGGCGGUUUGUCAAGUCGGAUGUGAAAUCCCCGGGCUCAACCUGGGAACUGCAUUCGAAACUGGCAGGCUGGAGUCUUGUAGAGGGGGGUAGAAUUCCAGGUGUAGCGGUGAAAUGCGUAGAGAUCUGGAGGAAUACCGGUGGCGAAGGCGGCCCCCUGGACAAAGACUGACGCUCAGGUGCGAAAGCGUGGGGAGCAAACAGG